CUUCUACAAGUGUCAGUCCUCAGGAAAACAAUCACUACAGAGUUGGAUGGCUGUAACAUCAGUGUCCAGGUCUGAGAUCUCUUCAUUUCUUCUUCCAUUGAUCGUUGGACUGGUUUGUGGAAUUUCACUGAUUAUUCUCCUGCUGCUGCUUCUUUGUUGCUGCAGAAAAAUAAAGGAUGCAUGCAGUAACCGGUUGGUCCAACACUCUUGUCUCAUCUUGAUCAUCAUAACAAUACUUUCCAUGUUCCUUAUUAAACUCCUUCAUGCUUUAGUCUCUCUCAGUCUCUGAACAUCAACCAAGGCUCUGCUACACAGCAAACAGUGAACCAGAAUGAAACUCAAGUUUACUCCUCUCUUCUCCAUGGUCAGCCUUUCCACUCAUUCUUUUCACAACUAUUUCUAACACCCACUUUGACUUUUCAAUCAAAAGCUCAAGUGACUCAUUGGAUGUUGUCUUGAU